GCCCUCACAACACAUUUAAGGCUUCUAACUCUCCCCCGGAUCAAAUGCAGCCAGGAAGCAGCGAGAAACACUGGCCACUCAGAUUAGAACCAGUUUCUGCUCGCAGUUAUAGCCGAGCUGUCGCUGGAGGGAUGUUUUAAAAGAUAAAUAAGAAUCAAGCUACACAAGAUGCGACCAUUUCCUUUCUUGAGGAGGAGGUAAUGCGCCAACGAAUCUCCAUGAAGGGCCCGUGUGACAUUUUUAUUAUUAUGGAUGUGCCCACGCAGAUGAGAGGAGGGGAGAAAGGCCACCCGAGAGUUUUCUUCACGUCGAGUCAAGGGGAAGGGAGGAAAAAAAAAUCAAGUAGCGUUUAUUCAAUAUCUGAGGCCAUUUCCCUUUAUGUUAUUGAAUAUUAACUAUGGUCCCUGUUUUCAUAUUAUUUUAUAUGCAUGAAUAUUAAGCAAAUAUAAAUAUUUACCAAUUAUCAUCAGUUGUUUUUUAUUGAACUACUCAAAUGUUUAUUGUAUUGCCCUCCUAUUAUAAUGCCAAUUGUUUAAAAAUGUGUUUUUCUUUUCUAUUAUCACCUCUACAGUUCUGCACCGGUAUGAAAUAUAUGAGAACAAUAAUAAAACGUAAUAAUUGCAAAACUAGAAAUAUAGUUUGACAUUUUUUUUAUUUAAGAAACUGUCUCGUAUUUAAUUUUGUGAUCACGUGAAAUGCUUCUGUUGUGUCCAAAUUAAAACUACAAGGUUUGCUGCAA